GGGAAUGUGGCUCAAUGGUAGAGCAUAUGCCUAGCAUGCAUAAGACCAUGGAUUCAAUCUCCACCCCA
rnacentral:tRNA from 1 species